rnacentral:tRNA from 1 species
GGGCCCGUGGUCUAGUGGCUAGGACAUAACCUUCACACGGUUAGGGCAGGAGUUCAAUUCUCCUUGGGCCCA